ensembl:lncRNA
AUUUCUAUACUGUCACAGUAAAUGUUAUCAAGUCAAAGUUGUUGAUGGUUUCAUAAUUGCUGAGGCAGGAGAAAUAACAUUACCUUUAGUUUGUAAUUAGCAUUUAAUCUAAAUUUUAAAUGAUUUUCUCUAUUGAUAUAUAUGAUAAACACCAUGAGUUUCUCUUUUUGUAGAUGGAACAUGUCUUGGAUAAAAACCGUCCUCCAGGAGAUCUUGGAUGGAAUCCACCAUUGGGAACGCUUGUCUAAAAGUUGUGGAGGAAGCUGCACAGACGUGGGAAAAUGUCGACAUCGCUGAGCUUUAUGAAGGAUCCUCAAGUUUACCUACUGCUCUCCUUGCUGGUACUAUUUUGAUUGUUUUUUUUUUUCUCCUGUGUGUACAUGUUUACUAAUUUGUAUCAAUCCCUGUAGGAAACCUUCAGGUCAGAGGUCAUGCUGAUGUUUCCAUCUUGGAGCAGACAGACAGGUCCAGCUGAUCACUACCUGCUUUGUGUGAGUGUCCAUGGUCUGUCUCACUCUGCUUUAGAGGAUAGAGAAAAGAAAAGGAGAGGUUGGUGUGUCAUGUUGUGUGGAUGAUGAUGAUAACAUUUAGAGCAGAGAAACAGAGACUCUUUCUGGACUCACUUCCCUCUGAUGGUUUUGGAGAUGAUCUCUACAGAAUAAUCUUUAGGUUGAUGCUACAGAAAUCAAAGCAGCUCUGGUCUUGUUCAAUGACCAAGUGUGUUCUUUGACUGUCUAACAGCAGCC